GCCUACGGGGGGCAGCAGUGGGGGAUAUUGCACAAUGGGGGGAACCCUGAUGCAGCGACGCCGCGUGGGUGAAGGAGCGUUUCGGCGCGUAAAGCCCUAUCGGCAGGGAAGAAGGUGACGGUACCUGACCAAGAAGCCCCGGCUAACUACGUGCCAGCAGCCGCGGUAAUACGUAGGGGGCAAGCGUUAUCCGGAUUUACUGGGUGUAAAGGGGGCGCAGACGGCAAUGCAAGCCAGGAGUGAAAGCCCGGGGCCCAACCCCGGGACGGCUCUUGGAACUGCAUGGCUGGAG
rnacentral:rRNA from 1 species